UACGGAGGGGGCUAGCGUUGUUCGGAAUUACUGGGCGUAAAGCGCACGUAGGCGGCUUUGUAAGUUAGAGGUGAAAGCCCGGAGCUCAACUCCGGAAUUGCCUUUAAGACUGCAUCGCUUGAAUCAUGGAGAGGUGAGUGGAAUUCCGAGUGUAGAGGUGAAAUUCGUAGACAUUCGGAAGAACACCAGUGGCGAAGGCGACUCACUGGACAUGUAUUGACGCUGAGGUGCGAAAGCGUGGGGAGCAAACAGG
rnacentral:rRNA from 1 species